AUCAUAUUUGGUCAUAUCCUCCAAGACCACACAUAUCUCUAUGUUCAAAUGGACAUCCACCACAUUUGCAACCUUGUCAGGUACAUGGUAUAUACCAUGCACAAUACCCGACUAGUUGUCAACUGGGGCUGACGCAGUUUGCACCAGCACCUGGUGCCAUUGCAGUACCACAGUAUCAUCAACACAUUCCUACGAGAUCUGAUGGAGCGAUAGCAAUAGCAGAAUCUCUGGAGCAUCACCAGCACCAUGGAGCAGGUGGCGGAGCACCUCGGGCUCCCCAAUUGUCUUCCUUGGCGCUUACUACACACUCCACAACUCCUCAAAUAGCACAGCUGUCACCUCCACCGCUGUUCAUUACU